rnacentral:rRNA from 1 species
GAUGAACGCUGGCGGCGUGCCUAAUACAUGCAAGUCGAGCGAACAGACGAGGAGCUUGCUCCUCUGACGUUAGCGGCGUACGGGUGAGUAACACGUGGAUAACCUACCUAUAAGACUGGGAUAACUUCGGGAAACCGGAGCUCAUACCGGAUAAUAUAUUGAACCGCAUGGUUCAAUAGUUAAAGACGGUUUUGCUGUCACUUAUAGAUGUAUCCGCGCCGCAUUAGCUAGUUGGUAAGGUAACGGCUUACCAAGGCAACGAUGCGUAGCCGACCUGAGAGGGUGAUCGGCCACACUGGAACUGAGACAAGGUCCAGACUACUACGGGAGGCAGCAGUAGGGAAUCUUCCACAAUGGGCGAAAGCCUGACGGAGCAAAGCCGCGUGAGUGAUGAAGGUCUUCGGAUAGUAAAACUCUGUUAUUAGGGAAGAACAAAUGUGUAAGUAACUAUGCACGACUUGUCGGUACCUAAUCAGAAAGCAACGGCUAACUACGUG